CUCUCGGCCGCCGGCGGGCCGGGCCGGGCCGGGGCGGGCCGGAGGGGCGCGGCGCGGGCCCCACCCAGCGGAAGGGAAAGCGCCGCCGCUGUCACAGCAGCGCCCCGGCGUGCUGCGGCUCCCGCCCUUCUGGGCAUGUGCGGCGGGGGAAGGGCCGCGCCGCGGUCGCCGCGGGGAGGGAAGGGGUGGCGGCGGGCGGACCGACAGGCAGGCAGGCAGGCAGACAGACCGACCGACCGGCAGCGGCGAGGAGGCGGUGGCUCGGCCCCCGCUGGGGAGGAGGCGGUGGGAUGGGGGGCGGGGGUUUGAGGGGAACGGCGCGGCGCUCCGCGGCGGCGUGACUCAGCAGCGGGAAGCGGCGGCGGCGGCGGCGGCGGCGUGACAGGCCGCCCGCCCGCUGAGGCCGUCGGCUUCUGAGUGCAGCAGGUCCCGCCGCCAGGGCUGUGACAGCCACAGGCGCCCGGGCGAGGGUGAGCGGGCGGCUCGGCCUCAGAAUCCCGCGACUGGAAGCGCUCCUGGAGCUACCCCGCCAUUUCCUCGCCUCCGGCCCGGGACGGGGGGGGGGGCCGCUGCCGCACGGCCGGGGCAUCGCUCCGGGCCCCCCUCGCCUCGGGCGUCCCUCGGGCCCGGUGCCCUUGGCGGGGCCGCGGCCCUGGCAGGCCCCGACCCCUCCGAAUGCAGCUCCAGGGGCAAAGCCUUCCUCCACCAGGCGCUGAAGUGUUGCAGCAGCCUCACGACCGCGUUCCUGACAGCGGUACAUCGUGUAUCGCUGUUUAAAAGUUUCUCGUCGUCAGUUUUAAGCCCUCGGCCUUAUUUUUAAGGCGCCGAGCGAGCACUUGGGACAGAAGAGCACGUCCUACCUACCAGUUCUGGUGUCUGAGACCUGGAAGGGAUGAAAGGAGCAACCUAAUUGCCUCAGAAUUGCUGAACGGGCAGUGGACAGAGAGAGGCCCUUCUGAAGGUCUGCAGCAGAUGACUGCUUCCUUUGAGGACCUUAGAGGGCUUCCUUCCACCGACGUUCAGGGAUUGGAUCAAGCACUGAACAGCCACAUUGGAUGAGACAGAAGAUCAGCACAGAUUUGUAUAUAACUGUUAAAACAACCGGGACCAGAUAUCUCAGAGGGAAGUUUAAAAAUCUUCUCAGCAGACAAUCUCCUACAAGGCUCUCUUGGCUGUCUCCAGGACUGGCGCACCUCCUUACAGCCACCCAGCCCUGGCUUUAGAAGGUGAAAUCUCUUCACGUGCUGAGAGUAACGAGAUCGGUACUGCCAGUGGAGGCGAGCCAGAACCUUAUCUAAUGCCACAAAAUGCCUUUGAUUGCAUCUGCUCCCUCAUCAGCACAGAGCAGUUCUCCAUCUGUGCCACUCUCCAGCCAUAUUCUGGGACCGCAUCACCCCUUCACCAGUUAGGCCACUAGGCUGCUAAGGACAAUUUGGACUCUUCCAAGGAGCUGGCUGGGGAGAGAGGAGGGUCACUGCCAGAAUACACGGUACUCCUCACUGCCAGCCAGCACCAGCAGUUUCACUGGCAGCCUGAAAUAAAGAGGUACAAAGGAAGAAUCUGUCAUAGACUCACAGCCAGCUCCUGACAGCCUUGUACUCGCUCUGCUCAGACUACGUGCUACGCAACUCAACACUUCUUCCGCACCCCUUCUCAGCCACUCGCCAUGGCUUUCCAGUUGCUAAACGUAGUCCUCUGAAGGGGAAACAGUUUCAAAUACCUUGUUUCUCUCACUGUUCUUUGUACCUUUCGAGGCAGAUGACUUGUUCAGCGUAUUUUUACUUUCUUGCCAAUUAGCUUGACUACGCAUUAAAUAUUUAAAUAUA